rnacentral:rRNA from 1 species
UGCCUACGGGACGCAGCAGUGGGGGAUAUUGCACAAUGGGCGCAAGCCUGAUGCAGCGACGCCGCGUGAGCGAAGAAGUAUUUCGGUAUGUAAAGCUCUAUCAGCAGGGAAGAAAAUGACGGUACCUGACUAAGAAGCUCCGGCUAAAUACGUGCCAGCAGCCGCGGUAAUACGUAUGGAGCAAGCGUUAUCCGGAUUUACUGGGUGUAAAGGGGGCGCAGACGGCAAUGCAAGCCAGGAGUGAAAGCCCGGGGCCCAACCCCGGGACUGCUCUUGGAACUGCAUGGCUGGAGUACAGGAGGGGG